UGUAUUAACACACGCUCUGUUCACAACGCUGCAGGCUAACCUACUAGCUAGCUCUGCUGUGUCAGUCAAUGAAGAUCCCGUUCAGAAGAUAAUUGCUCAUACACUCUUAGAAGAGAUGUGUUAAAAAAUGACACACAAAAACGUGUUGUUACACAUUUAACACAUUGUGUGUGGAUUUCUACAUAAUAGUGUAAAACAUGUGUAAAUAAUGUGUAAAAAGGCUUAACACAGUUGAUGUGUUGGACAGUGAAUCUGAAUUCUGCCCAGCAACAGCGUCAUCCUUUUUUCGCGGUCAUCCAUAUUCGCGCCACAGUGAGUCGCUAAAGAAAACUGCCACAGUCCUCUCCAAGGAGAAGGGUUAGGAUCGAGACUCCAAACUCCACGGAAGGGAGACAUGGGCCGCAGGAAUCUGUGAAAGUUCUUGCAACUACUUUUAAGAAUGGAAAUGAAUUGAAAAGAAAAAUUUACAGUGUCCAAAGCACAACAGAGCUUCUGGAAAAAACAAGUGAAUUGGGAUUUGUCCUUGACCGGAUUUUAAAAUUUAACACAGAUUUCCAAGAGUUUACUGAUGUUGACAGUAGUGUGCAGAUAAGUAACCUUGACAGAUUCCAAGUGCACUUUUCAGAAGCAUCCCAUCUUCAAACUGUCCCAAGAGAAGUCUGUCAAACGCAGCCUACACAGGAGCCGGAUCAGCAGGCUGGUCUGAGGCCUCUGCUUGAAAUGCAAGUUCCAGAAAUAUUUGAUGAACUCCAAACUAAGGCCAUUGUUACAGAGAAAACCCGAAUGAAACUCAUUAAAGUUUGCAUCUCUGACUUAGUGGAGAAGCAUGGAUUUUAUCCGUCCACUAUUGAAAAGGUGGUUCUUGCAAAGAACAUCAUCACCAUCUUCCCAUCGCUUAAAGUCCAAAUUGAUGGCAGAGGAGAAGGCUUUGUGAGUAUAAAGUUGCUUAGUUGAAAAGUGGGUAGAGCUAGCUAUGGGUGUGCAAUG